rnacentral:tRNA from 1 species
AAAAACUAGUUAAAUUUAAUAACUUUAGAAUGUCAAUCUAAAAUUACUUUUUGUGUUUUUU